UUAAUAGCUAAACUUGCAGGAUUUUUGCUCCCGGUACCUGCGAUUUUUACCUAUGCCCAGUGCCAAGACCGCAGGUACUACCUACGCCUUGUACCAAACCGCAGGUACAGAUAAUAUAUGGCUAUUGACAUGGUUUCCUCCUUUUUUUUCAAGAUUUGGUUUAAGGUGUUUCCUCUUGUAUUAUAAAUACCCUUUAUGUAUAUUUUAGUUAGAGUUACUGUCAUACCC
rnacentral:lncRNA from 1 species